rnacentral:rRNA from 1 species
AAUGAACGCUGGCGGCGCGCCUAAUACAUGCAAGUCGAGCGAGAAGACGUAGCAAUACGUUUGUAAAGCGGCGAACGGGUGAGGAAUACAUGGGUAACCUACCCUCGAGUGGGAAUAACUAGCCGAAAGGUUAGCUAAUACCGCGUACGCUCCUUGGACUUCGGUUCAGGGAGGAAAGCGGAUAACCGUGGGUAUCGCGCUCUUGGUUGGGCUCAUGUCCUAUCAGCUUUGUUGGUGAGGAACGGCUCACCAAGGCUUCGACGGUAGCUGGUCUGAGAGGACGAUCAGCCACACUGGCACUGCGACACGGGCCAGACUCCUACGGGAGGCAGCAGUAAGGAAUAGUUGCGCAAUGGGC